rnacentral:lncRNA from 1 species
CCCACUCACAGUUCUUCAUUUUCAAAUUCCUUAGUGAGCAGUUGGUUUCGUUGUCUUAAUUUGGGGCAGUAAUGAUUUCUGAGAAGCAGGUGAUUGAUAACGCGCAAAUUCAAAGCCCCUUGGGGGCUGCAUUGUAGCAUGGUGUGGGGAUGGGGAGACAGAGGGCUGGUAGGAUCCCGAAUUCCUAGUUUUUCUCUCCCUCUCCCUUGCUUCUUCAUUUUCUUCCUUCAGGCUUUCUUCCAUUUCUUUCUUCCAUCAAAUAUUUGUGGAGCUGGAACUGGGCUUCACUAUCAUAUUCCAAGGCCCUGUACUGGGAACAGACAAAGAAGCUCCUCCCAGAGACUGGAAGAAUGGUACAAGGUGUGAAAACCAAGGCUUAAAGCAUGCAAGUUAUUUGCCCGAGGUUUUUCAGCCACAAAUGAAGAAGCUGGGUCUGCUCCACACCUGUGAACCAGGCUAUUUCCACCAUAACCUGAACUCAGAUGAGCACCAGCCCAUGGAGAAUAGUCCAGAAGGCUGCCCAUAGCCUUAAAGGACAGUGUGAGCAUUAAUCACAGCCUGUUGCAUUUGAAGACCACCUCCGGAACAAUGUCGUUUUAAAUCUAUGCCCAAGGCUGAACUUGGAUUGGAAAGAUGGGAGAGACAGCAGGCCUGGGUGUAUUCAGGAUUAUUUCCUAAUAACUCACUCUCUCCUCCCUCCUCCCUUUCUUGAAACAGCCUCACAAAAUGAGUGUUAUAUUCUGGAUUAUCAGAAGAGAAAUGUGAGAUGCAGGCAGGUUGAGAAAAUUGCUCCAAGUCACUUCGGGAAUGUGUGCAUGGACAAGGAAGCAGGAAGAUCCCAAGGAAAAAGAAGCAGCAUGAAAAAUGACAAGAAGACUACAACAGAAGUUUCUACGAACUUUGCACACACAGAAGAGGGUUCUUUUAGUUUUAGUCAGGAUAGGAAAAGGACAAAAUAAAAGUGAACAUUUAUUGAGCCAGG